UUUCGAUGACUGAAAUGUCUUGAAGGAUUUUUCAAUUCCCACUGGAUGUGAAAAGGAUAAGUCCUUCUGGGUGGAGGCUCCUUGUAAAUAUUGUUAAACUUAUGAGUAAUUACACCUUGUAAUUGCCACAUCAUAUUUUUCUUGUCCCUUUAAAAUAAGGAACAUCCCAGCAUGUAGCAUAACUAAACUGCAUUACACAGUCUCCAGAGUUUCACAUUUCAGCAGCUUCAGGGCAAAUAGUGAGCGUAUUAUUCACUAUCUGCCAAGCUUCGGAUGAACUGAGAAAAACUCUGUGAGCCUUGGGGAAAUGUUAGCCCAAACGCAGUUCACAUAUUUAACUCAAUUAUUAAACAAUGCCACCACUCUACUAUACGGUCACCAAAUCGCGUGAGACCAACCAAAAUCUGAUUUUGUUUAAUUUCUAUUUGCUUUUGUAUUACACAACCGUGUUACAGUGCUGCCGCCUACGCUUAUUAAGAGUUGGUAAGUGUGCUGGGGUUUAGAAAAAUAUGCCUCUCUGUAUUUUGCUUUUGAACUGAAAACACCAAGGCGAAUUGGUAGUGUAAGACCCACCUAAGAGGUUUGUCUUUUCAGACUAGUUGAGCUUGCACUUUAAUGGCCAUUAAAGUGAUACUAAAAAUGCAUGGAUUUGGGAUAGUGUGCAGACAACCUUUAUUUUGGCUUCCACUAUAGUCACCA